ACAAUAAAAAGUGUUGGCAAGGAUGCGGAGAAAUUGGAUACACUUCAUACACUGCUGAUGGAAAUAUAAAGUGUACAUAGCCAUUGUGGAAAACUAAUCUUGCAAUUCCUCAAAACAUUAAGCAUAGAGUUACCAUAUGACCCAGAAAUUCCGCUCCUAGAUUCCAAGAGAAUUGAAAACACAUGUUCAAACAAAAUCUUGUGCGUGAAUAUUCACAGCAGCGUUAUUCAUGACAGUCAGAAAGUGGGAACAGCCCAAUGUCCGUCAUAAAUGGAUAAGCAAAAUAUGGUAUAUCCAUACAAUGGAAUAUUAUUCAGUAAUAAAAAAAUUAAGUAUUGAUACAUGCUACAACUUGGACGAAUCUCGAAAACAUUAAGCUGAGUGAAAGAAUUCAGUCACAAAAGACCACGUGUUGUGGUUCCAUUUAUAUGAAAUGUCCAGAAUAGGCAAAUCUAUAGAGACAGAAAGAAGAUUACUGGUUGUCUAGGGCUGGUGGGGUGGGGUGUAUGGGAGGGAAUAUGGGGAGGGACGGCUAACAGGUUUCCUUUGGGGGUGAUGAAAUGUUCUAAAAUUAUAUUGUGGUGAUAGUCGUACAGCCCUGUAAAUAUACUAAAAAACAUUGAACUGAUAAAAAGUGCUAAUAGUAGGUAUUUCUGGAUGGUUGGCUUAUGUUGAUUUUUGUUGUGUUUUUUUUUUUUUGUUCAUCUAUAUUUUCUACAGUGAACAAGCGUUUCUAGUUGUAAGAAAAAAGAAACAAAGUUAUUGGUUUAAAUGAUUUAUCUCAACAAGGUAACUUCUUAGAAUCCUGUAUGGAGGUUCCUGGGUUUGGGGGCAUUCUUAAGUAACGAUCCUUGAGGAAAGUUGCUGCCUUCUUGCGAGCCGUUCUCCACGUCUUCUCCUUAUUCUCUGCUGUAAAAUAGAGGAAGCUUUUUUUCCCUUCAAAUAAUGAAAUCUGUGGGUGUUUCCAUUUUUUUCGUUUUACGUGGUGAUUCAUUUCGGGCUGAAUGCCUUUCCAUUUUUGACUUUUCAUUGUUUGCUGCGUCACAAGAACUUCUGCAUUUUAAAUUCUCGAUUUGGAUGGGAAUACAGUCCAUGUGGUUCCACAAAUGGAGUUUAAACCUUUCCUCCAAUUUGGCAGAUUGCAUUCUUGCUCCUUCCCCUACCCUGAGACCGAUUAUCGUUUGGUUGUAAUCCCUUAACGGUGAUAAAUAUAAACGACAAUGAAUGCAUGUUGCAAAAAGAAAAUCUUAAAUUUCAAUUUGACUGUCUAAUAAUAUGCUGUGAGAAUGAAAAUGACUGUGUUAAAAUAGGUUAUAAAUGUCUGAAACAUUAUAUAAAAGUAGUUGGAAGAAUUAGGGGUUUUCUCUUUAUUAUGGCCUAUGUUGAAUGUUAAUUAAUUAGUUUAUUGCAGGUGAGAGGAUCAAUCAGUAUCAGGUGAUAACUAGGCUUAAGGAAAACAACUAUCAAUUCAUAUUUGCUUAAAAGAUUAAAGACAUCUGCUUGCCUAGUUGAAAGGCAAUACUACUUAAGAGAAAUCCACGAACAUGUUAUAACGUCAGAUUUUCCUCUUAGACAUAGACCAUGAAAUUAAGAAUGACUACAUUACACUUGGAGGGGGCACAGACUGCAAAAUCUGAGACAAUUGAUAGAAAAGCACUUCCAAAAGGGUCUGGAGCUAAAAAAGACAAAGAGAGGAAAAAAACCUUUGGAAACAAAUGCUGGUUUUCAGUGGCCACUUAGGGAGCCAGUUCCAGAGAAGAUGCUCCUAGAAGGGUCCUGCAGCACAGCCCAGCUCAGAUGGAACAACCUGGCUUUCAUUUGGGAGUCCCUUCUUCCUCCGUCCACGUGGUUCUGUGGGUGCCCCUGUUCUUGAAUCCAGCGGUGACUCGUGAGCCAGUGCAGCCAGUCAGACCAUCACGGCCCCCACACAGCAGUGACUGGCUCAGGGCUUCCUGUCGGCCACUGCAAUCGCAGCCUCUCCUUCAGUUCUGCAGCCAUCUUGCUACACAGAGCUUGACAACAAAACCAGAUUUAUUAUUUUUUUAGCCCAGAAUCCAGCCAUGUUUGGAGUCUGCUCCACAUUGGGGCUUCUUAGCUACAAGAUCCAGCAAACCCUCCUCCAUUUUUGUCCUGUUUUAUUUUUCUCCUUAUACUAGUUCAUAGUGGAUUUUCUGUAGAAUCCUCAGUGAUGUAUUUGUGAAUAUUUCUAAAUCUCUAAAACGUAAAAUUAUACAAUGAAGA